UAGAGUUUUGAUCCUGGCUCAGGACGAACGCUGGCGGCGUGCUUAACACAUGCAAGUCGAGCGGUAAGGCCACUUCGGUGGUACACGAGCGGCGAACGGGUGAGUAACACGUGAGCAACCUGCCCUUCUCUUCGGAAUAAGCGUUGGAAACGACGUCUAAUGCCGAAUAUGACUUCCUUUUGCAUGAUUGGAAGUGGAAAGCUCCGGCGGAGAGGGAUGGGCUCGCGGCCUAUCAGCUAGUUGGUGUGGGUAAUGGCCCACCAAGGCGACGACGGGUAGCCGGCCUGAGAGGGUGACCGGCCACACUGGGACUGAGACACGGCCCAGACUCCUACGGGAGGCAGCAGUGGGGAAUAUUGGACAAUGGGCGAAAGCCUGAUCCAGCAACGCCGCGUGAGGGAUGACGGCCUUCGGGUUGUAAACCUCUUUCAGCGGGGACGAAGCGAAAGUGACGGUACCCGCAGAAGAAGGACCGGCCAACUACGUGCCAGCAGCCGCGGUAAUACGUAGGGUCCGAGCGUUGUCCGGAAUUAUUGGGCGUAAAGGGCUCGUAGGCGGUCUGUCGCGUCGGGAGUGAAAACUCAGGGCUCAACCCUGAGCGUGCUUCCGAUACGGGCAGACUAGAGGUAUGCAGGGGAGAACGGAAUUCCUGGUGUAGCGGUGGAAUGCGCAGAUAUCAGGAGGAACACCGGG
rnacentral:rRNA from 1 species